GCGAACGCUGGCGGCAGGCUUAACACAUGCAAGUCGAGCGGGCCCUUCGGGGUCAGCGGCAGACGGGUGAGUAACACGUGGGAACGUGCCCUUCGGUUCGGAAUAACUCAGGGAAACUUGAGCUAAUACCGGAUACGCCCUUAUGGGGAAAGGUUUACUGCCGAAGGAUCGGCCCGCGUCUGAUUAGCUAGUUGGUGGGGUAAUGGCCCACCAAGGCGACGAUCAGUAGCUGGUCUGAGAGGAUGAUCAGCCACACUGGGACUGAGACACGGCCCAGACUCCUACGGGAGGCAGCAGUGGGGAAUAUUGGACAAUGGGCGCAACCCUGAUCCAGCAAUGCCGCGUGAGUGAUGAAGGCCUUAGGGUUGUAAAGCUCUUUUGCCAGGGACGAUGAUGACGGUACCUGGAGAAUAA
rnacentral:rRNA from 1 species